rnacentral:rRNA from 1 species
UUGAAAGGGAAACGAUUGAAGUCAGUCGUACCGGCGGCAAUCAGCCUUUUGGGUGUGAUUAUGUGGGGCGUGAGGAGUUAAACACCCUCAUCUUUGCAUAUUCGUGCACUUUGGGUGUACUUGCUCGUGUGGUAGGUUAACAUCAAUUUUGAUCGUCAUAAAAUGAUUGGAGGAAUGUAGCUUCGAUCUCGUAUUGAAGUGUUAUAGCCUUCGGUAGAUGUGAUGAUUGGGAUUGAGGAUUGCAACGGAUACCCUUCGGGGCUACCUGUCUGAUCUCUGAAAGUUGCUCUGGUGCUGAAAGCUUGCUUAUGGUAUCAAAGUUGACGUUCAACAGGUUAGAACGGGAUAAAUUCGUUAAGGAUGUUGACGUA